rnacentral:lncRNA from 1 species
GUUUGGGAUAUGUAUGUCUAGACCAGAGUUUCUUAUGGCUUAUUUUUUGUUUUAAUCUAUAAUACCUAGGAAACUUGUUAAUGAUACUGAUGUAUUGGAAUACAUAGUUCUUAUAUACAUUUAUAUUUCUCUCAGGGAUAUAAAAUCUAUUUCUACAUCAAAGAAAAAAUGAAAAUGUUAUAGCAGAGGGCAUGAGGAUAUAGGACCUUUGGCUCUAUGGACCCCCAACAUUGUGAAUAUAAGAAUAAAAAACAAGUGAAGCCAAACACUGGUAUGCUCCAGCAGAGUCCUGUGGCCCAAUAUCCUGAGCUCAGGUCUACAACUCAGAAACUCAUGGAUUUCUGGUCCCUGCCAAACCACUGCUUUUGGUAAAUAGUGGGUGAGUCAUUUAAUCAUUCUGUGCCAUCUUUCCUCCUCCAGCAAAGCAGGGUAAU